GCCCCGUUGGCUCAGUGGUAAAGCGUAUCACUAGUAACGAUAAGAUCACUGGUUCGAUUCCAGUACGGGGCA
rnacentral:tRNA from 1 species